UAAAAAAUGUUGUUACCUCAAAAAAAAACUCCAAUGCAAAAUACAAAAAGUCAAUAGAAUACUCUAUAAUUAAAACACUCUUUCCUUUGUAGUCAAUGCGCUCCCAAAACAUCAAAUCAACUAUCGUCUUCCAAACACCUAACCAUACUCACAAACCUAACAUAAAAUUCUUAAUUUCUCUUCCUAAAUCCAUAAUUUCAUCUCUUUCUUCCAUCACCACCCAUAGCCCUUCCUCAUCUCCCUGAUCUAUCUAAUCAGAAGUCGGACUCCUCAUGACUACGACGCUCCUCAGCAAGUCGGUCUAACUGAUCCUCACGACGAAGCCGCUAACUCGAUAAGCCGCCGUCAAAUUCUUCUACCUGCGCUCGCUCCGCUGGUAGGCUGGACACGUACAAAGCAAAAUUGAUCAGGCUGAACGAAGAAGGGAAGACGAAGGGCAUGACCAAAGGAGAAAAAUCACGACAAGAGGAAAAGAUACGUCCACCCAACACAAAUGAUGAAAAAUCACCUCGAGUAUGCUUUCAUUUAAUAUUUAUCUUAUCCAAUCAUGAAACUAUUCCGAUCCUUGAAACUUUCAAUUUUAACAUGUCUAAUUAUGUAGUUUUAUGAAGUUUAGUUUUGACGUUUAAUUUAGUUAAAUUAGAUGUUUAUGAAA